CGGGGCGUAGCGCAGCCUGGUAGCGCACUUCCUUGGGGUGGAAGUGGUCGCAAGUUCGAAUCUUGUCGCCCCGACCA
rnacentral:tRNA from 2 species